GAUUUUUGCAUAGCAAUUGCAUGUCUGUGAUGGAGCAUGUUCAUUGAAACUUGUAUGGUUGUAGUGAUUUUGUCAAUCUGCCUUACCGUUACAAAUUUAUCACAGGAAGAUACAAGAGAAUUUGUUGGAGAGUUGAAUAUCACACUGGUCAAAGGCACCAACUUGGCUGUUAGAGACAUGCUAACAAGUGAUCCAUAUGUUGUUUUAACGCUCGGAGGGCAGAAAGCUCAAUCAACGG